GUCUUGGCCAUAAACGAUGUUCACUAGGUGUCGGGCUUUGCUUCGGUGCCGCAGCUAACGCAUUAAGUGAACCGCCUGGGAACUACGAUCGCAAGAUUAAACUCAAAGGAAUUGGCGGGGCCCGCACAAGCGGUGGAGCAUAUGGCUUAAUUCGAUGCAACGCGAAGAACCUUACCAGGGCUUGACAUGCAACUGCACGCUGUAGAGAUACAGUUCUUUCGAAGGUGUUGCACAGGUGGUGCAUGGCUGUCGU
rnacentral:rRNA from 1 species